rnacentral:lncRNA from 1 species
AUGACAAGGCACGAUUUGCUCCCCCUACUCGGUAGGCAUCGGAGCGGUGAGUUUGCAUUUCCAAGGCACAAGGUUAUCCUUAAUACUAAAGUUGCCGGGCUCCCAGCUCAGCCCCAAGAAUUCUCCCCUCCUUGCAGGGAGAAGUCACCGCCUGGCCCCCUCAUCUCAGACGCACCAAGUCCGGCGCAGAAGAAGGGAGGGGACACGCGGAGCAGGCCAGGCUUUCGGGAGGCACCGGAAUCUCCUAGUCCUGGCUCGCAUGGCUCGGGCAAGCCUCGAGAUCCGGCGACCCCAAACCACCCCUGGGUCCCCGCCGGAGGCUGGCCCAGGGCGGUCCCUCAGCCGCGCGCCUCACGCGCAGUUGCCCAUGGCCUUGACCAAGGAGCUCUCUGGCAGCUGGCGGAAGAUGCCCCGCAGCGUGUCCAGUUCGCGGCUCAGCUGUUCCACCCGCUUGCGCAGGCGGUCAUUGUCACUGGUCAGCUCCAGCACCUUCUGCUGCGUCUCCACGUUGCGCUGCUUGGCCUUGUCGCGGCUCUUGCGCACCGCGAUGUUGUUGCGCUCGCGCCGCACCCGGUACUCGUUGCUGUUCUUGUCCACCGACUUCUUGGCCUUGCCCGUGCCGCCGCCGCCACUCGCGCGGAGGUCGGGGUGCGCGGCGUAGGGUGACCGGGCUGCAGGUGCAUGGUGGUCUGGCCGCAGUGCGCUAUCUGGAACUGCAGGUGCGGGGCGGCCAGGUGCGCUGGCGGCGGGUGCGGGUGUGAGGGCGGCGGCGGCGGCGGCGGCUGGUAAGGGAAGAGGCCGGCCAGCGCCAGCUGCUUGGCUUCAUCCUCCUCGCGGGGCUCCUGCUUGAUCACCAGCGGCCGCAGCGCCGGCGCCCCGACGCGCUCGUACAGGGGCUCCAGCCUGCCGUCCAGGUAGCCGGCGGCCGCGCAGCCGUAGCCGGGCGGGGGCCCGUGCGCUCCCCCGGGCAUGACGGCGCCCCCGGGGCCCGCGGGCGCGCCCGGGUAGUCAAAGUCGCCGCCGCCGCCGCCGCCGCCCGCGGGGCCCGCGGCCGCCUUGGCCUUCUCCUGCUGCCGGCUGUGCUGGAACAGGUCGGCCAGGAACUCGUCGUUGAAGGCGGCCGGGUCGAUGUAGGCGCUGAUGUCGAUGGACGUCUCGUGCUCGCAGAUGCCGCCCAGCGGCUCCGGGGCGGCAGGUGGGGCGGGAGGCUGCGCGGGGCCCGCGCCGCGGGGAAAGCCGAAGGCGGCGCUGCUGGGCGCGUGCGGGGGACUCUGCAGGUGGCUGCUCAUCGGGGGCCGCGGCUCCGCCUCGUAGAAGUCGGCCGACUCCAUGGGGGAGCUAGAGUUCUCCCGGCAUGGCGAGCCUCGGCGGCCUCCAGCCUGCGCGGGGCGUCGCCGCCGCCCACCCGGAGACCCGACUCGCCCGCGCCCGCGCAGCUCCGGGUCGCGAAUGGCCC